GUACUGUUAUUGCCAUUCCUAUUUCUAAAGAUGAACUUGAGAGCCUUGCUUAUCCUGCUGUGUCUGUUCUCGCUGAUGAUUGCAGAAUAUUCUGUCCAAGGCCUAGGUUCUUGCAAGACACGUUUGAGGUGCUCAGGAUGCAGAUCAGUAUGCAAGAGAAGGGGAGUCCGGACUGGGUACUGCAGAUACUCAAUUACUUGCCCAAGGAGAAGGAAAUACAGGUGCAGAUGUUUGCGCGAACUUGGUUGAUGUAAAAAAAAAAAGAAACCUGUAUCAAUUCGUGUAAUAAAUUGACAGUAAUGCUGAUAUCAAAAUGA